rfam:Medicago truncatula strain A17 chromosome 3, whole genome shotgun sequence.
GGCGAGGAUGAAGAGUGCUAUUUAUAUUCUGACACCUCUUGUAUGAGAUGAAUCUAUCAGAAGAUUCAUCUAUGAGCACAUAAAGCAACUCUCUGAGUC